GAAACUCAAUGCAUUUAGACAUCUAGUCAAGAUGACCUGAAGUUCAAAGCGAGCAUCAGAAUGAGGGAAACGGUGUUAUAAGUGACAGGCGCUCAUGUAACAACUCCUUAUAUGCAAGGUAGGCCGAAGACCAUCUAAAAUAUGUCCAACCCUGAACCAGAUGGGUUACAGCAGCAGAAGGCCCACACUGGAUGCCUCUCCUGUUAGCUCAGGCUAUAAUUUACAUAAUUUGAAUCUAUGCCAUGAAGAACUGAAGCAGUUUAGAAAGCAAAGGGUGGUCCAAGGCAGUACUAACAAGGUGUACCUAAUAAAGUGGCGGACCUUGCAGGCCAGAUUGUGAAGCUCCACAGGCUACUUAAGGUCCUUCACUUCUUGCCCUUGUGUGCGACCCGCCCAUGUGUUUACCUGGCCGGCUCUAAAGCGCUCCGCUGUCUCCCCUCCUCUUUGCCUUCAAGCUAUGUGUGCUUCCAUUGCCCUCUGCCAGAUCGUCUUAGUCAUGUGCCAACCAUUUCAGCACUCUUUGCCUCGUGUUAGACUUCCCAUGUGCCCGUGUGUUUUGUUUGCCAAGUUGAACUGACUGUUCAUGUACUGAACUUUGCUUUGAUUGAGCAAAGACUGAGCCUAUGAACUUUUACCUGAUCUCCCAAGACGUGCAUGUAAGUCCCAUUCUGCAAUGCUUUGAUCAUUGCGAUCAAUGUUUUUUUUUCUCUUGCAUUCAAGAGAAAAAUAUUUUAGCCUUCUGCAGAAUCCUUACAUACCUCAGUAAAACUAAGUGAUCAAAAUCACUAAAUGAUAGCUAACUGAAAGUUGUGCCAUCUUGCAAAAAUUCUGUUAUAUUCUCGUAAAAGUGAGAGAAGGUACCAGACCAACAGAAGGGUAACAGUUAUAUAUAAGAUGUGGUUUUUCAAUGGUUGCUGCUGUGAGGGACAUUCUGUAAAUUCAACCUCCUAAAAAGUCCAAAAUGAAUUUCGUUUUUUAAUUGAAUGCAAAACUACAACCAUAAAAAAAAUAAUGAUAUUUUGUUUGGAUCAUUCUCUGUGUGAGUAGAAAAAGUGUCGGGGAGCCUCAUUUGAUAGACCCAAGUUCAAAUAGAGAAUAAAAAGAUGACUCCCAUCAUUAAGAAGAAUGGCAGGAGGGAUUUUUUUCUCCCCUAAUUUGACCAUGAGCCCAAGCACACUGCAAAAAUCAGCAGUAGUUGUUGGCUGACUUGAAUUGAAUAGGACACCCAUGGAGCAUUUUAGAGGGAGGCAGAGAAACAAAAACCUUGCAGCUGAGAGCUGUUGAAAGAAAUAAUCUGUGAAGACUGGAUUUGUGCAAGGCUAGCGUAAUCUGUGCUCAGGAGGAUCAAAUCAGUCAACAAAAAACACGACAUAUUAAAACAAAAUAAUAAUAAAAGAGUGCACUUAGGCAUGUAUUUUUUCAUCCAGCAUAUCAAAUCUAUUUGUUUUUACUUAUAAAAUUAAAAUCUCUUAAAAUAUGUUUGAGUCACUUCAUAUUUUUGU
ensembl:lncRNA